rnacentral:rRNA from 1 species
CCUACGGGGGGCAGCAGUCGAGAAUCAUUCACAAUGGGGGAAACCCUGAUGGUGCGACGCCGCGUGGGGGAAUGAAGGUCUUCGGAUUGUAAACCCCUGUCAUGUGGGAGCAAAUUAAAAAGAUAGUACCACAAGAGGAAGAGACGGCUAACUCUGUGCCAGCAGCCGCGGUAAUACAGAGGUCUCAAGCGUUGUUCGGAAUCACUGGGCGUAAAGCGUGCGUAGGCUGUUUCGUAAGUCGUGUGUGAAAGGCGCGGGCUCAACCCGCGGACGGCACAUGAUACUGCGAGACUAGAGUAGUGGAGGGGGAACCGGAAUUCGCGGUGUAGCAGUGAAAUGCGUAGAUAUCGAGAGGAACACUCGUGGCGAAGGCGGGUUCCUGGACAUUAACUGACGCUGAGGCACGAAGGCCAGGGGAGCGAAAGGGAUUAGAUACCCCAGUAGUC